UGUGCGCCUGCCCUCUCGGUGUCGGAGAGACGCCCUUCCACCUCUGGGAGCCUCGGUCUGUUGGGGUCGCGGAGUUCGGGCGCGGCUCCGGGUACCCGAGACCAGCGGCGGCAACUUCUAACACGGGAGAUUUCCCGCCACCCCACCCCGCCGCCGCGAGUCCUCGCGGGGCGUGUUGCGUGCGGAGAAUCGACGGGAUUUCUCUGGCUGUCGUUUGCGCUGCAUUUAUCCGAAUACAUCCAGCUCGCAGGCAUCCUGCAAGAAACGGCUCCCGGCUCGCGUGUACGCCGACACCUCGGCCCAACGCAGGACUCGAGGUGGUUUCUAGUGCCCGGGUGGCUGCAAGUCUGCCCUCCGAGGGAGGCUGGACAAGCGGCGCCCCCAGGUCGAGCGGCCUCUCGCUGCCUGGCAGUGCCUGGCAGCCCCCACCUCUGCCAGUGCUUCGGAAACCCGCCUGGCCAGGUUCGCCCGCGGUGAAAAAUGAAAGCAAAUUCCCCAACAGAGGUAGCCGGAACUUUCCUCGACGAAGGCUCCCUCCUGCGCCUGUGUCUGGAGAACCCCCAGAGCGCUGCAAGUUAGCAAGAGAGAUUCGAUGGCGGCUCUGGAAGGCGCACGAAGGGUGGGGCGGGGGAGCAAAGAGGCCACUGGGUGACCCAGCCUGGUCCGGGGUGAAACGCUAGAGAAGGCGCCUCGCCUUCCUUAUUUCAAUGCAACUCCUCGGCCCCAGACGGUAAAAAUAGUUUCCAAGCUGCCGCGGACGCCCAGGAUGUGUUUGCAGAGAUCAAACUGGGGAGGAGGCAGCUUUGUAAAAGUUGCAGAAAGAUUAGCCGAGAAGCGUCCGCCCGGCGGGGCUCAAGAAAGCUUGGGGACAGCUCCAUGUUCCUUGGGGCGGAAUGGCCCAAGAAUUGGCCUGGGUAACCCCCUGCCCAGUUCUCUGUCCUCACUUCGAGCCAGUGCUUAAAUAACUUCCCGCCGCCUGCCCUGCAAACUUCCCGGCGCGGCGCCGUUGAGGCCAGGACACAGCAAAGGCUAGCAAAACCCCGCCGCGGCGCGCUCGGCCCCGGCCCUGAGAGGCUGCGCGGGUGGGAGGACCAGUGUGGUUUCUGCUCCCACUCGGCUGCCCAGACCCUCAAGACCGAUCCCCCAACUCCUGGGAGCGGGUGCUUCCCUCUGGGAGCCGAGAUCUUGCGGGGCCAGCGAGGGCGCAAAGUGCGCGCGCUGGCCCGCGCGGGGGCGGCCGCGCGUCUCUCCGCGGGGCCUGUCGCCAGGCCGGCCGCGGCGCGUGAGUGAUGAGGGCAGAGAAGGGCGCCCAUAAAUCGCGGGUGUCAGGGCGAAAAACUCUCUUUAUUGUCUGCGUGAUGGAUGGGCCCGGGGACGAGACACCAAAUACUUCGUAUCGCCUUUAAAUGGGAACACAUUUUCCGCGGCCAUAAUUCAUGUUUUUUAAAUAGAAAGUUUGAAAUGUUGCCUAUAUUUCACCAGCCCUGACAUAUUUAUGAAUCGCUCCCUGCAUGCAAAUAUCAUUACUUAAAGCGCCGGGGAGAGCGCGGGGGAGGGGAGGAGGCGCGGUUCCCGGGGCGUGGGGGUGGUGAACCGGGGAAAUAUCGGUGGAGGGGGGCCAUCUCCCUAAAGGGCAGAGGGUGAGGUGCGGUGAAUAGCCGUAUCCGGAAACCGAGCGUGCCCCGGGCUUCUUUCCCGCCGCCAGACCCCGCACAGCCGCCCUGGGACGUUUUUCGAGGCUUGGGACCUAAGACGGGUCCCCGGACCCUGCUGGGAAACCAGGGGGCGUUUUUCGUCCCUCUCUGAGGCCAUUAUCCAAGCUGAAACCACCUUUUAUAAGAAAAAAGUUUAAAGAAAAAAAAUUUAACAAACACAAAUAAUAAUAAUAACCCAACAUGUUUCGCGUUCUUUGCCA
rnacentral:lncRNA from 1 species